rnacentral:rRNA from 1 species
GACGAACGCUGGUGGCAGGCCUAACACAUGCAAGUCGAACGAAGUCUUCGGACUUAGUGGCGGACGGGUGAGUAACACGUGGGAACGUGCCCUUUGGUACGGAAUAACUCAGGGAAACUUGAGCUAAUACCGUAUGUGCCCUUCGGGGGAAAGAUUUAUGGCCAUUGGAGCGGCCCGCGUCUGAUUAGCUAGUUGGUGAGGUAAAGGCUCACCAAGGCGACGAUCAGUAGCUGGUCUGAGAGGAUGAUCGGCCACAUUGGGACUGAGACACGGACCAAACGCCUACGGGAGGAAGCAGGGGGGAAUCUUGCGCAAUGGGCGAAAGCCUGACGCAGCCAUGCCGCGUGAAUGAUGAAGGUCUUAGGAUUGUAAAAUUCUUUCACCGGGGACGAUAAUGGCGGUACCCGGAGAAGAAGCCCCGGCUAACUUCGUGCCAGCCGCCGCUGUAAAAC